rnacentral:rRNA from 1 species
CCUACGGGAGGCAGCAGUGGGGAAUAUUGGGCAAUGGGCGCAAGCCUGACCCAGCAACGCCGCGUGAAGGAAGAAGGCUUUCGGGUUGUAAACUUCUUUUCUCAGGGACGAAGAAAGUGACGGUACCUGAGGAAUAAGCCACGGCUAACUACGUGCCAGCAGCCGCGGUAAUACGUAGGUGGCAAGCGUUAUGCGGAUUUAUUGGGUGUAAAAGGCGUGUAGGCGGGAGCGCAAGUCAGAUGUGAAAACUCAGGGCUAAACCCUGAGCCUGCAUUUGAAACUGUGUUUCUUGAGUGCUGGAGAGGCAAUCGGAAUUCCGUGUGUAGCGGUGAAAUGCGUAGAUAUACGGAGGAACACCAGUGGCGAAGGCGGAUUGCUGGACAGUAACUGACGCUGAGGCGCGAAAGCGUGGGGAGCAAACAGGAUUAGAUACCCCAGUAGUC